AUUGAACGCUGGCGGCAUGCCUUACACAUGCAAGUCGAACGGCAGCACGGGGCAACCUGGUGGCGAGUGGCGAACGGGUGAGUAAUGCAUCGGAACGUACCUUUCAGUGGGGGAUAACGUAGCGAAAGUUACGCUAAUACCGCAUAUUCUGUGAGCAGGAAAGCAGGGGAUCGCAAGACCUUGCGCUGAUUGAGCGGCCGAUGUCAGAUUAGCUAGUUGGUGAGGUAAAGGCUCACCAAGGCGACGAUCUGUAGCGGGUCUGAGAGGAUGAUCGGCCACACUGGAACUGAGACACGGUCCAGACUCCUACGGGAGGCAGCAGUGGGGAAUUUUGGACAAUGGGGGCAACCCUGAUCCAGCCAUGCCGCGUGAGUGAAGAAGGCCUUCGGAUUGUAAAGCUCUUUCGGCCGGGAAGAAAUCGCACGGGCUAAUACCCUGUGUGGAUGACGGUACCGGAAUAAGAAGCACCGGCUAACUACGUGCCAGCCGCCGCAGUAACAC
rnacentral:rRNA from 1 species